CUUCCGCGGUUGCGAGGCGCCGGCCGGCGGUGGCGCGGCCGGGCUGCGGGAGCGGGGGCGGCGCCUUCUCCGCCGGGGACGGGCACGGGCGGGUGCGAGCGGGAUGGAGCCGUGACCAGUGACUGAGGAGAGAGCUGCUGGCAUGGAAGUGAGCUGGGUUUGUCCGUGGGAACUGUGAGUAAGGUUGCCAUCACGAAAGCCAAAGUGGAUUUCUCCGGGGUGGUGUGCCUGCCCCCUUCCGUCAUUGCUGGGAAUGGGCUGGACGGAGGAGGGGCUGGCGACAAUGACGACGAGCCGGUGCUGGUGUCCCUUUCGGCGGCCCC